ACCAGUGUGACGUAGUGGUUUGAGUGUUGGACUAGGACUCUGGAGACCAGGGUUCGAAUCCUUGCUCAGCCA